rnacentral:rRNA from 1 species
CCGCCCGCUUGAGGGAUGAAGGCCUUUCGGGUUGUAAACCUCUUUCAGCAGGGAAGAAGCGCAAGUGACGGUACUGCAGAAGAAGCGGCCGGCCUAACUACGUGCCAGCAGCCCGCGGUAAUACGUAGGGCGCAAGCGUUGUCCGGAAUUAUUGGGCGUAAAGAGCUCGUAGGCGGUUUUGUCGCGUCUGGUGUGAAAACUCGAGGCUCAACCUCGAGCUUGCAUCGGGUACGGGCAGACUAGAGUGCGGUAGGGGAGACUGGAAUUCCUGGUGUAGCGGUGGAAUGCGCAGAUAUCAGGAGGAACACCGAUGGCGAAGGCAGGUCUCUGGGCCGCAACUGACGCUGAGGAGCGAAAGCAUGGGGAGCGAACAGGAUUAGAUACCCUGGUAGUCCAUGCCGUAAACGUUGGGCACUAGGUGUGGGGCUCAUUCCACGAGUUCCGUGCCGCAGCAAACGCAUUAAGUGCCCCGCCUGGGGAGUACGGCCGCAAGGCUAAAACUCAAAGGAAUUGACGGGGGCCCGCACAAGCGGCGGAGCAUGCGGAUUAAUUCGAUGCAACGCGAAGAACCUUACAAAGGCUUGACAUGCACAAGAAGCCACCAGAGAUGGUGGUCUCUUUGGACACUCGUGCACAGGUGGUGCAUGGUUGUCGUCAGCUCGUGUCGUGAGAUGUUGGGUUAAGUCCCGCAACGAGCGCAACCCUCGUCCCAUGUUGCCAGCGGGUUAUGCCGGGGACUCAUGGGAGACUGCCGGGGUCAACUCGGAGGAAGGUGGGGAUGACGUCAAAUCAUCAUGCCCCUUAUGUCUUGGGCUUCACGCAUGCUACAAUGGCCGGUACAAAGGGCUGCGAUACCGUAAGGUGGAGCGAAUCCCAAAAAGCCGGUCUCAGUUCGGAUUGGGGUCUGCAACUCGACCCCAUGAAGUCGGAGUCGCUAGUAAUCACAGAUCAGCAACGAUGCGGUGAAUACGUUCCCGGACCUGGUACUUGUCCGCCCGGCACGUCCACAA